rnacentral:rRNA from 1 species
AUUGAACGCUGGCGGCAUGCCUUACACAUGCAAGUCGAACGGCAGCGGGGGAGAAGCUUGCUUUUCCUGCCGGCGAGUGGCGAACGGGUGAGUAAUACAUCGGAACGUGCCCUGUAGUGGGGGAUAACUAGUCGAAAGAUUAGCUAAUACCGCAUACGACCUGAGGGUGAAAGUGGGGGACCGCAAGGCCUCAUGCUAUAGGAGCGGCCGAUGUCUGAUUAGCUAGUUGGUGGGGUAAAGGCACACCAAGGCGACGAUCAGUAGCUGGUCUGAGAGGACGACCAGCCACACUGAGACUGAGACACGGCCCAGACUCCGACGGGAGGCAGCAGUGGGGAAUUUUGGACAAAGGGCGGAAGCCUGAUCCAGCAAUGCCGCGUGUGUGAAGAGGGCCUUCGGGUUGUAAAGCACUUUUGUCCGGAAAGAAAUGGCUCUGGUUAAUACCUGGGGUCGAUGACGGUACCGGAAGAAUAAGGACCGGCUAACUACGUGCCAGCAGCCGCGGUAA